GGCUGUGGCUCAGUGGUAGAGCACUCACCUGGCAUGUAUGAGGCACUGGGUUCAAUCCUCAGCACCA
rnacentral:tRNA from 1 species